GCGGCUGCGCGCAGAGGUGGUGGGGGCGGUGCCGGAGCCACCUGAGGGGGCGGAGCCGCCCCGCCCCGCCCCGCCCACCGCGCACCUGCUUCCACCUGACGUGGACUCUGGAGGUCGUCAACCGCUGUUCCAAAUACAUAACAUUGAGUUUCUAAGGCUGUCAACUAUACAAACAUCCUUGAAAAGAUACUCCAGAUCCAGGGAAGUCAUUGCCUGCACUCACAAGAUGUUCAGAAAUGGGAGAGUCUUUUGGAGAGAACAUCCAGUACGAUGCUGAGUGGACGUGGGGACAGCAGACACCCUUUGAAGGCCUUGGGCGGUUCUUCAUUCCUGAGAGGUCCUGCCCCAUGCCCAGGAGGAAGGAAUGCUUCGCAGAGAGGCCAAGAAGAAUCUGAACAGGCAGGCCUUACCGGGUCUCCCCACUCAGUCGGUUACCAUUAGAUCUUACCUUGUCCAAUCAUACUUCUAUACAGCUGUCCAUUCUUCAUAGAGCCCAAGCAUAAGAACAGUUUUCCCUGGGUUUUGGGGUAAUUUGCGAAGGCUCCCAUGUCACACAAGGCUUUGAUUAAAUAAAUUUGUUAUACUUUU